GGUUAAAUACGCUCUCCGCGAGACGGCCGAGUCACGCGUGGUAACGUACCUUUUGGUUCGGAACAGCACACGUAAACUUGGGCUAGUGCCGGACAAGCCCUUACAGGGAAAGAUUUAUCGCCGAAAGAUCGGGCCGAGUCUGAUUAGCUAGGUGGCGAGGUAAUGACUCACCAAGGCGACCAUCACUAGCUGGCCUGAUAGGAUGAUCAGCCACAUUGGGACUGAGACACGGCCCAAACUCCUACGGGAGGUAGCAGUGGUCAAUAUUGUACAAUGGGGGCAACCCUGAUCCACCCAUGCCGCGGGAGUGAUGAAUGCCCUAGGCUUGUAAAGCUCUUUUGUGCCGUAAGAUAAUGACGGUACCGCUCGAAUAAGCCCCGGCUAACUUCGUGCCAGCAGCCGCGGUAAUACGAAGGGGGCUAGCGUUGCUCGUAAUCACUGGCCGUAAAGGGUGCGUAGGCGGGUCUUUAAGUCAGGCGCGAAAUCCUGGAGCUCAACUCCAGAACUGCCUUUGAUACUGAGGAUCUUGAGUUCCGUAGAGGUGAGUGCAACUGCCAGUGCUCAGGUGAAAUUCGUAGAUAUUCGUCAGAACACCAGUGGCGGAGGCGGCUCACUGGCCCGAUACUGACUCUGAUUCACGAUAGCCUGGGGAGCAAACAGGAUUAGAUACGCUGGUAGUCCAUUCCUGAUACGAUGAAUGCCUAGCGUUAGUGAGUUUACUCACUAAUGGCGGAGCUAACGCUUUAAGCAUUCCUUCUGGGGAGUACGGGCAGCAG
rnacentral:rRNA from 1 species